rnacentral:rRNA from 1 species
UACGUAGGUGGCGAGCGUUGUCCGGAAUCACUGGGCGUAAAGCGCGCGCAGGCGGCGAUCUACGUCUGGGGUGAAAGCCCGGAGCUCAACUCCGGGACUGCCUUGGAUACGGGAUCGCUUGAGGAUUGGAGAGGCAAGGGGAAUUCCACGUGUAGCGGUGAAAUGCGUAGAGAUGUGGAGGAACACCUGUGGCGAAGGCGCCUUGCUGGCCAAUUACUGACGCUGAGGCGCGAAAGCGUGGGGAGCAAACAGGAUUAGAUACCCUGGUAGUCCACGCCGUAAACGAUGAGUGCUAGGUGUUGGGGGGUACCACCCUCAGUGCCGAAGCUAACGCAUUAAGCACUCCGCCUGGGGAGUACGGUCGCAAGACUGAA